CCUUCGAUGGAUAGGGGUUCUGAGAGGAAGGUCCCCCACAUUGGAACUGAGACACGGUCCAAACUCCUACGGGAGGCAGCAGUGAGGAAUAUUGGUCAAUGGACGAGAGUCUGAACCAGCCAAGUAGCGUGAAGGAUGACUGCCCUAUGGGUUGUAAACUUCUUUUAUACGGGAAUAAAGUGAGGCACGUGUGCCUUUUUGUAUGUACCGUAUGAAUAAGGAUCGGCUAACUCCGUGCCAGCAGCCGCGGUAAUACGGAGGAUCCGAGCGUUAUCCGGAUUUAUUGGGUUUAAAGGGAGCGUAGGUGGACAGUUAAGUCAGUUGUGAAAGUUUGCGGCUCAACCGUAAAAUUGCAGUUGAUACUGGCUGUCUUGAGUACAGUAGAGGUGGGCGGAAUUCGUGGUGUAGCGGUGAAAUGCUUAGAUAUCACGAAGAACUCCGAUUGCGAAGGCAGCUCACUGGACUGCAACUGACACUGAUGCUCGAAAGUGUGGGUAUCAAACAGGAUUAGAUACCCUGGUAGUCCACACAGUAAACGAUGAAUACUCGCUGUUUGCGAUAUACAGUAAGCGGCCAAGCGAAAGCGUUAAGUAUUCCACCUGGGGAGUACGCCGGCAACGGUGAAACUCAAAGGAAUUGACGGGGGCCCGCACAAGCGGAGGAACAUGUGGUUUAAUUCGAUGAUACGCGAGGAACCUUACCCGGGCUUAAAUUGCAUUUGAAUAUAUUGGAAACAGUAUAGCCGUAAGGCAAAUGUGAAGGUGCUGCAUGGUUGUCGUCAGCUCGUGCCGUGAGGUGUCGGCUUAAGUGCCAUAACGAGCGCAACCCUUAUCUUUAGUUACUAACAGGUCAUGCUGAGGACUCUAGAGAGACUGCCGUCGUAAGAUGUGAGGAAGGUGGGGAUGACGUCAAAUCAGCACGGCCCUUACGUCCGGGGCUACACACGUGUUACAAUGGGGGGUACAGAAGGCAGCUACCUGGUGACAGGAUGCUAAUCCCAAAAGCCUCUCUCAGUUCGGAUCGAAGUCUGCAACCCGACUUCGUGAAGCUGGAUUCGCUAGUAAUCGCGCAUCAGCCAUGGCGCGGUGAAUACGUUCCCGGGCCUUGUACACACCGCCCGUCAAGCCAUGAAAGCCGGGGGUACCUGAAGUACGUAACCGCAAGGAGCGUCCUAGGGUAAAACUGGUAAUUGGGGCUAAGUCGUAACAAGGUAGCCGUACCGGAAGGUGCGGCUG
rnacentral:rRNA from 1 species